GGAAGGAUCAUUAAAAUAGGAGUAAAAGGGUGGAUUGGGGUAACUCAGUCUACUCGAACACACCAGUGAACCAGUUGAAGUCUUUCAUGGUUUUCGAACCACACUAUUCAGGUCGAUUUAGUUGAUCUCAAAUGAGUAGGCUAACCCCUCUCAUUACUACGGAUAUCAUAAUACAGCUUUUAACGAAUGGAUAUCUCGGGUCUCGCGACGAUGACGAGCGCAGCAAAAUGCGAAAAGGGAUGCGAAUUGCAGAAACUCGUGAGUCAUCACUUUCUUGAACGCAAUAGGCACCCAGGCGAUGAGCUUGGGUAUGAAUGAAGGAGUGAGGGUUCAUUUCAUCUAGAAAAUGACCUUCUGGGAGUAUGAGAGUGGGUCUCACGACCCUCUCUUGAAAUGAAUUAGAUACAAAGAGUCACUUGAAGGGGGUUAACCUCGACUUGUGUACCCUGAGUACUCAUAUUCACACAUACCAUACAAUACCCCUCCUCCUUUCAUUCAAGAUUACCCGCCGAAUUUAAGCAUAUCAAUCAGCGGUGGAAAAGAAACCAACUGGGAUACCCUCAGUAAUGGCGAGUGAAGGGGGUCCAGUCCAACCUCGAAAGGAGUCAAAUCCUGUUGUGGGGUGUAGAGAGUUGUUAUUGAUGCGGUUGAUCGAUCGAUGAAGUGAGUUGGAAUGCUCUACCAAUGAGGGUGAAAGUCCCGUAAUCGAUUGAAUCAAUUCAUCAUGUCUUCUCUCAUCGAGUCGAGCUAUUUGGGAGUAUAGCUCUAAAUGGGUGGUAAAGGACAUCCAAGACUAAAUACAAUGCGAGACACCGAUAGCAAACAAGUAGCGCGAGCGAAAGAUGAAAAGGACUUUGAAAAGAGAGUCAAAAGGACUUGAAGUCGUUAAGAGAGAAUGGAAGGUGGGGAGAGUGAUAUAAAUGAAUGAGUAGUAUCAUUGGAAAGUGAUGGUGGGUGGUGGUCUAUGGGAGUGAGUUCAAUCUCAUACCUGGGUUAUCGCUGCUAUCCUAACUGGUAUUCUAUUCAAUCAUAAUCAGAGUGAGUAAGAUGAACUUGAAUGAAGAUUGAGAGAGGGGUGGGUCGAUGAUGAUUUAUCCUCCUUGAUUGACAUAAGGAAUCUUACUGAGGGGUAUUAAAUACCAAAGUGAAUCAUGUAGAUGAGGGUGGGUGAGGGGAUAAGGGUUGGUAGACUACUUGUAGUGUACUGGUCUGAACCUCUCAUUGCCUUUAGCCUUACCAUUCACUCAUUUGACUCUGAAAUUUCUUCCUAUCUUCCACCCGUCUUGAAACACGGACCAAGGAGUCUACGAGUAGGGCGAGAAUAAGAGUACACAAACUCCUAUUCAUAGUGAAAGCAAAUGGAUAACUAUCAUAUCCAAGAGGUAAUUGAUUCGUUCAAUUUCCCUCCUUUUAGUCCUACUCUUGGGACCCGAAAGAAAGUGAUCUAUUCCUGCACAGAACGAAGCCAGGAGAAAUCCUGGUGGAGGUUCGUAGCGGUACUGACGUGCAAAUCGUUCGUCUGAUGUGGGUAUAGCGGCGAAAGACCAAUCGAACUUUCUAGUAGCUGGUUCCCUC
rnacentral:misc_RNA from 1 species